GAUGAACGCUGGCGGCGUGCUUAAUACAUGCAAGUCGAGCGAACAGACGAGGAGCUUGCUCCUUUGUCGUUAGCGGCGGACGGGUGAGUAACACGUGUAUAACCUACCUAUAAGACUGGGAUAACUUCGGGAAACCGGCGCUAAUACCGUAUAAGCUAUUGCACCGCAUGGUUCAAUGGUGAAAUACGGCUUUUCUGUCACUUAUAGAUGGAUCUGGGCCGCUUUGGCUAGUUGGUAAGGUAACGGCUUACCAAGGCGACGAUGCGUAGCCGACCGGAGAGGGGGGUCGGCGACACUGGAGCGGAGACGGGGUCCAGACUACUGCGGGAGGCAGCAGUAGGGAAUCUGCCGCAAUGGGCGAAAGCCUGGCGGAGCGACGCCGCGUGAGUGAUGAAGGUCUUCGGAGCGUAAAGCUCUGUUAUUAGGGAAGAACAAAUGUGUAAGGAGCUAUGCACGUCUUGACGGUACCUAGUAAGAAAGCCACGGCUAACUACGUG
rnacentral:rRNA from 1 species